UCUUCCUUCAGUUUCCGUCUACCUCAUCCACCCACAAGGCUUUGGUCGGCCGAGGCUAUAGUAGAAGUCACUCGCCCAAGGUGCCACGCAGUGGGACUGAACACGUAACCAUGUGCUUGGUACGUAAGCUAUUUAACACAUACCCCAACCCCGCCUAUAUUUCGAGAGUUAUCUCCGCUUUCUUGCUAUCGAAAUUAAAUCCGGCAAAAGAAAAUUUGAAAUUAAUUGGAACCCCGGAUACGUUGCUACCGUUUAAAACUAAACUGAGUUGCUCUUAAAGUUAACGGAGCUGACCAAGCGUUCCUGAGACAAACACAUUAAACUAAAACUAAAACUCAACGAUCAACUUUGCUGUGUCACAUUUUCAUCGUCGUUUGAACAAAGCGGACGCUGAAAUUUUCUGAGAGAGAAAGACUUCAACUCGAACCAGGACAUAAUCUUCGAAUUUGGUAAAU